rnacentral:rRNA from 1 species
UAGGGAAUCUUCCACAAUGGACGCAAGUCUGAUGGAGCAACGCCGCGUGAGUGAAGAAGGCUUUCGGGUCGUAAAACUCUGUUAUUGAAGAAGAACGUGCGUGACAGUAACUGGUCAUGCAGUGACGGUAUUCAAUCAGAAAGUCACGGCUAACUACGUGCCAGCAGCCGCGGUAAUACGUAGGUGGCAAGCGUUGUCCGGAUUUAUUGGGCGUAAAGCGAGUGCAGGCGGUCUUUUAAGUCUGAUGUGAAAGCCUUCGGCUUAACCGAAGAAGGGCAUCGGAAACUGGGAGACUUGAGUGCAGAAGAGGAGANUGGAACGUCCAUGUGUAGCGGU